AUACGGAGGAUCCGAGCGUUAUCCGGAUUUAUUGGGUUUAAAGGGUGCGCAGGCGGGAGAUUAAGUCGGCGGUGAAAUUUUGCAGCUCAACUGUAAAAGUGCCUUCGAAACUGGGUUCCUUGAGUGUAGAUGAAGUAGGCGGAAUUUGUGGUGUAGCGGUGAAAUGCAUAGAUAUCACGAGGAACUCCGAUUGCGCAGGCAGCUUACUAAACUACUACUGACGCUCAGGCACGAAGGCGUGGGGAUCAAACAGGAUUAGAUACCCUGGUAGUCCACGCAGUAAACGAUGAUUACUAGCUGUUUGCGAUACAAUGUAAGCGGCUAAGCGAAAGCGUUAAGUAAUCCACCUGGGGAGUACGUUCGCAAGAAUGAAACUCAAAUGAAUUGACGGGG
rnacentral:rRNA from 1 species